rnacentral:rRNA from 1 species
AUUGAACGCUGGCGGCAGGCCUAACACAUGCAAGUCGAGCGGAUGAAGGGAGCUUGCUCCUGGAUUCAGCGGCGGACGGGUGAGUAAUGCCUAGGAAUCUGCCUGGUAGUGGGGGAUAACGUCCGGAAACGGGCGCUAAUACCGCAUACGUCCUGAGGGAGAAAGUGGGGGAUCUUCGGACCUCACGCUAUCAGAUGAGCCUAGGUCGGAUUAGCUAGUUGGUGGGGUAAAGGCCUACCAAGGCGACGAUCCGUAACUGGUCUGAGAGGAUGAUCAGUCACACUGGAACUGAGACACGGUCCAGACUCCUACGGGAGGCAGCAGUGGGGAAUAUUGGACAAUGGGCGAAAGCCUGAUCCAGCCAGGCCGCGUGUGUGAAGAAGGUCUUCGGAUUGUAAAGCACGUUAAGUUGGGAGGAAGGGCAGUAAGUUAAUACCUUGCUGUUUUGACGGUACCAACAGAAUAAGCACCGGCUAACUUCGUG